UUAUUUCAUCUAGGGGUUAAAAAACUUGAUAGCGAAAAGAGGUUUUACUAUUAAUAGUAUUCCAGUCUAAUUCUAUAUAUAUAUUAUAUAUUAUUAUAUUAUAUAUAUAUGGAGUCCGAACGUACGGUGCUUGUAAAAGUAUCAAAUAUUUGGUGUUUGUAAAUUUUUUACCGUUUAGAUCUACGCCUUUGAUCAUUUUCAUCCGUUAGAUUAUACUAUUCAACCAACCACCCACUUUAACCCUAGGGGGCCCACAUCAUCUUAACCACACAUUCUUUAAUCCAAGGGCUAAAAACCUACAAGCACCAAUGACUUGGUACUUUUAAAAGCAUAGGAGCCUCAAAUUUUAUUUAUAUAAUAUAUAUAAUAUAUAUAUAUAUAUAUAUGUAUGACUACUAUGCUAUUAGGAGCACAGUAGCCCUUAUGCUCCUAAGUUUUUAACUUUCUAACCAUUCAUCAAUUUUGAUGGGUGAUUAGGGUGAGAGAGAGAAGAGAAAUUGGAAACAAAUUCAAAGAGAAGAGAAAUUGAGAUACCUAAUUUUUCCUCAAUUUCUCUUCUCUCUCACAUCCUAACUACCUAUCAAAGUUGAUAAAUAGUUAGAAGCUUAAGAGCACAAGGGCUACUGUGCUCCUAAUAGCACAGUAGCCCUAUUCUCUCUCUCUCUCUCUCUCUCUCUCUCUCUCUCUCUCUAUAGAGAGAGAGAGAAACUACUGCACUAUCUAUAGUAUCGAAGCUUCAAUACUAUAGUGUCAUUUUGUAUCUUAGGUUGCUCAAAUCAACAAUCCACACCAUUAAAUAUGAUUUAGAAUAAAUAAAGUAUCAAUGACUUGGUGCUCCAAGUUACGCGCGCACACGCGCACACACACACACACAUAUAUAUAUAUAGAGAGAGAGAGAGAGUGUCCGCUAUGGUGCUUUUGAAAACACCAAGUACUUGGUGCUCACAAGUAUUCCAUCAUUAGAUCUAUCAGUUUGACCAAUUUCAUCCUUUAGAUCAUGCUAUUUCAUCAACCACUCACUCAAUCCUAGGGCACUACCAUUAUCCUAACCCUACAAAUCUUAUCCAAAGGCCAAAAAUCCAAAAGCACCAAUGCUUUAAAAAAUAUAAGAGCUCAAUUUUAUAUAAAUGGAACUAGGUUAUUAUAUUAUUAAUAGCACUAAGUCAUUAAUGCUGUUAGGUUUUUGCUAUUGGAUUAAGAUAUAUGUAGCUAGGAUGAUAGUAGUCCCCUAGGCUGCGUUUGGUUACAGGAUAUAAUAGGAAUAAUACAUUUUAUUCCUGCAAUUCUGCCAAACAUAAGUAAAAUUGGAAGAGAUAUUUAAUUCCGGUCAAAGCGGGUUAUUCUUGACAAUUCUAGAAUAACCCGUUAACAACUAUUCCUCUCCAACAGUGGAAUAGCUGCGUCCUUCAAUUUAUACCAAAGGCAGUAAGUGAAAAAGUUGCCUCGUUAUUUGAGCCCACCUACCCUACUCUAUACUCCUUAGCCAAAUGCCUCUUUUAGUUAAAACUUUUUACAAUAUUUUAUAUUAUUGUGUAUACUAUUUUUGAUUAAUUAUAUCUAAGGUAAAAAUAUUUUAUAAUUAAUUAUUAAAAUAUUUUAUAAAUAAUAUGAAUAUUAAAAUAUUAAAUAUAAUUUUCUUUCAGUAAAAUAUUAUAUUGCAUAUAUUAUGUUUUAUUUGAAAUGUUGUUCAUUUUAUUAAAUAUUACAUAUAAAAGAGGCACACACAAGGACAAUAUUGGCAUUUUAGAAAAAUUCAAUCUACUUUUACUAUUAUUCUCUAUUAUUCCUAAGCAAUUUUCCAAACAUAAAUUUUCUUAUUCUUCUGAAAAAGAGAAUUUCAUACCAAAUAUAAAAUUCAUUUUAUUCUUUUGUAUCCUAGAAUACACCCUAAAUCCAAGAAUAAAAAUAUUUAUACUUCUAAACAUUAUUCCAUUAACAAACACAACCUUAGGGUUGAGUGGGUAAUUGGUUGACUAGUAUGAUUUAUUGGUGGAAAUAGUCAAAGGGAUAAAUCUACCAGUGGAAAACUUGGUAGUAUACCAAGUGCUUGGUGCUAUUAAUAGCAUAGCAGCCGGACUAGUCCAACUACUAUACUCUUAUAAGUAUGAUCGUUUAGUACUCAUAAGCCGUUUUUAAUGAUAGAAUUUUCGUAUCGACGAUCCAUAUUGUUAAACAAAAUUUAGAGCAUUUGAAACUUCUAGAAAUUAAAUUUUAUAAUUUUUCAACGUCAUUUACCUUAUGAUUAAAAAAAAUCUCAAAAUUUAUAAUUUUAACGGUCGAUAUGAGAUACUUACUAGUUUAACCAUGUAAAAGAAAUGGAGUUGUUUGAAUUUUCGGUGAAAAUUCUAUUCACUAUCUACAUCAAUAAUUCCAAUCUCAAAUUAAAAAACUUUGAUCCUCUAUUUUUUUGGAGGUCUUUCAAUUAUAAGCAUUCAUUUUACGCCAGCUUGAUGUAUUUUAUUAUAAUUUUAAAAAAAUUACGAAAUUCAUUUUUCAUAUGUUCAAAUGCUCUAGAUCAUAUUUAAUAAUAUGAAUCGUCGACUUAGAAGCUCCGUCAUUAAAAACAACUUAUGAGUACGAAGAAAGAGAGAGAAAGAGAAAGCAAAGAGUUACACUAGUAUGCUUUCAAAAACACGAAGGACUCCGUACUGUCAAAUUUAUUUUCGAUGAUUGGACAUUCAAAUAUUAGAAUUAUCUGGAGAGCAAAUUUGAUUUAUAGAUAUUUCAGUAUAGAUCAUAUCUAAAGAAAUCGAUCGUCAAAUCAAAUGUGCUAUCAUCGAAAACUAAAGUGAAAGUAUGAAAGCCUUCAUACUUUCGAAAACAUACGAGCCUACUUAUGUAGAGAUAGAAUAUUAUGGUCUCAUGAGUAGAAAGGCCUCUGGAAAUUUUUUUUCGAUAAUGAGACAUCCGAUUUGAUGAUCGGCUCUAUUAAAUAUGAUUUACACUAUUGAAACUAUUUAGAAACUCAAUUUUAUAAUUUUUUUUUCUUAUUUGCCUAGUGAACAAAUGGUCUCAAAAUAAACGGUUGAAAAUAAAAAUCUCACAAAAAAUAGUCCCAGAUGACUUAAAUCGAAAGUAUUGAUCUUGCUCUUGAUGGAAAAAUAAUUGUUUAUUAAAAUUCACCUAAUUUGAAUUUUUGUAUACCUUUGAACUUACAAACAUACCACAUUGGCUACUAAAAUAGUAAUUUUUGAGAUUCUAAUCACUUGGCAAAUGAUGUUGAAAAAUUAUAAAAUUAAUUUCUAGAUAGUUCCAAUAGCGUAUAUCAUGUCUAAAAGAACUGAUCGUCAAAUUAGAUAUCCCAUCUUAGUCUUCCAAGAACAUGAUGUGUCCAAAAUUGUAGGAGAGAAGUGACUCGGUUGUUUUUUUCUUUUUUUAAGAUAAAAGCAUGCUAUCUUUUUCAUUUUUUAGGAAAAUGAAUUUAGCUAUACGAGUAAGACAACUAGAUCUCCAAAAUGGAAGAUCAAAAUACUAAUAAAAAAAUAUAACAAAAAAGAAAAGAAACUGAACAAGAACCCUAACGCAUCAUUACCUACAAUUAAUGACUAUUAUAUAUAUUUGAUUUGAUGCACAUGCUUUGUGUUUAACAUCAGGAUGCCGCUGCUUAUGAGGAACCAAAGAAGGAUUUGAGGAGUAGAGGACUAUGCCUGGUUCCUGUGUCAUUCACCCUUCAUGUUGGAGGAGACAAUGGAGCUGAUUACUGGGCUCCGGCUUUCGGCGAGGAAUUCCGAUGAGAAGCUCGAUCGAACGCGCGCGCACCGAUCGACCAAUCAACUCGCGCCUGAUCAGUUUCGAUGCAUGCAUGGCGGAGAAAACAUGAACAAUUGUUCAAGGUGAGAUAGAUUGGUAAAUGUAGGACAUCAAACUGUAACAUAAACAGCAAAAUUAGGUGGUAGGUACAUAAUUAAACUAAUUAAUAAUUUGGUGAGGGGCUCCUUUGCUCUCUUGUAACUUGAAUUUUAUUGAAUGUAUUGUAGUGGUAUUGUAGUGGUAUUGUAGUAUGUUAGAUAAAUAUCAUGAAGAUUUAUGUAUGGUUGACGAUUUUAUACAUAUAUAUAAAAUCAAUAGCACCAAGAGCUUGGUGCUGUUAGUUUUUUAACCCUUGGAUUGAGAAAUGUGUGGUUAGAUGAUAUGGGCCCCCUAAGGUUGGGUAGGUGGUUGAUUGAAUAGUAUAAUCUAACGGGUAAAAAUAAUCAAAGAUUAAAUCUAACAGUGAAAAACUCGAUAGCACCAAACCCUUAGUGCUAUCGAUAGUAUCCCAGUCACUCUAUAUAUAUAUAUAUAUCUUCAUUAGUCAAGAAAUGUAUAUUUUUGUCCAAGAUGAGACAUUUUUCAGGAAUUAAACAUAUGUAGUAUGGUGAUUUUCCACACAAUUUCAAGAAAAAAAAAAAAAGAAAAAGGGUUCCUGAUUUUCCAUCUUUAAAUAUAAAUUCAUCGGCAUUAAAUUUUCAUUUCAUGAAAAACUAUAUUCAAAUUUUAUAGAGAAAUUUAAGAAUAUUACAUAACUAUUUAAUCAUAUCAGAUAACCACAAAGUCUACAACUGUAAUAGUUAACAAAAAACAUUUGUUAAAGUGUAACAAUAUAGAACAAUUCUCAUUCGCUACCAUUUUUGCUAUAAAAAAGUUGAGCUUUUUAAGUACCAACUUGUAAUACUUUUACGUUGCUUUUGAUGAUACAGCAUUUGAAUCGGUGAUCAAUAUUGUUAAAUAUGAUUUAUGAAUCGGUGAUUAAUAUUGUUAAAUAUGAUAUAGACACGUGAAAUUCCUAGCAACCAAAUUUCAUUAUCUUUCAACAUUUUUAACUUACCAUUCUAAGUGAUCUCAAAAUUAAUAAUUUUCAACAGCAUCAAUACAGUGCAUUUGAGACGACUUAGAUCAUUAGUUAAAUAAUGUUAGAAAUCAUGAAAUUUGGCACCUAAGAAGUUUCGUAAAUCAUAUUCAACAAAAUCAAUCAUCGAUACGUAUGCCCCAUCACUGAAAAUGAUGCAACAAUAUCAAGUCUACAUAUAAUUAUAUUAUUAUAUUGCCGAGCACGUGUGCUACUGGUAAAAUAUAAUUUAAAUAAGUUCAAGAUUUUGUUUAAAAAAUUUCCAAAAUUUCUAGAUCAAAUAGGAAAAAUCAUUGCCUACACCUAAUGCAAUCAUACAUCUACUUACGAGGAAUCAAUUGACAUUCCAUCCAAGGAUCAAAAUGAUCAAAAUGAGAUAGAUGCAUAGUGAAGGUUAAAACACUAGUGAUGCAACUUCAUAGCCAUACAAACUCUAUCAAAGUUGCUUUAUAAGCAGAUUAUUAAGAGAUCCUCAUGAGCACAUUGGCAAGUCCCAGAUCACCUGCCUUUGACAAGGCACAAGGAGAAACAAAACACUGCAAGCACCUCAGAAUCACCAGGAGUCUUCAGGACAGAGAGAUUUAUAACUUACAGCCAAAAGCACUAGAAGCACUAGAAACACUAGUGAAAGCUUUCUUACAGUGCCUUGAGAAUCUCAUCCGCCCCCGAUAUGGUGAACUGGCCGCCCUCCUCGAUGUUUGCGACCUUCACCUUGAGGUCGUCGACGAGAAGCGCGAACCUCCGGGAACGAGUCCCGAGUCCCUUCUCAGAAAGAUCGAGCUCGAGGCCCAGCGCGCGGGUGUACGCCCCCGAUCCAUCAGCGAGGAACUUCACGUGUUUGUUCUCGGGGUAAGUCUUAGCCCAGGCCUUCAUUACAAAGGGGUCGUUGACUGCAAACAUUUAUUAAUUAUAGAUAUCAAGUGCGAGCCAACUUAUGCGUUAAGAAAAAGGUACUUAUUGAUAGUUUUGCUGAUUUACUGAAUCCUUAAGAAAAGUUUUUGUUUUCUGAUGUAGAAGUGUGUUGGUAGCUAAAUGUAUGCAUUUACAGCUAACAAAGAAAAAAGUAAUUGAACUAUACCGCUGAUGAGAAGGAUUUCAUCAACACCCUUGGAUUUAAGUUCCUCGGCAUUCUGGAUGAAGCCAGGCACAUGCUGCAUGCUGCAUUCCAGAUUACAAUCAACCAAUUUUACGAUUGAAUUUGAAGAAGAAAUCAGAAAGAGCCAAAGUGAAAAAGUAGAAAAGAUGCAGGUGGUUAUGUCUGAAUCAAAUUAUAUGACACAAACAAACUCAUUUUGAAUCUCGUCAUGGGAUAAAAAAAAACUAAAAUUGGGUGGGAAAAAACACAGAGAGAGAGAGAGAGAGAGAGAGAGAGAGAGAGAGACCACACUCAGCAAAGACAAAGUAUGGUUUAAAAUGGAAGUUCUAUAGGCAUCAAUGUUCCAAAAGACAAUAUGCAAUGUCCAUGCGGUUUGCCUACUGUAUAGCGUGUCUGCAGUACGCGGGCGCAUAUAUGAGUUUGUAUGGCAUGAGAUGAGAUAACUAGUUGAUGUAUGAUAGUUUCGUUUGGUGUUCCAAUGACCAAAUGGUAAUACGCUGUCAAACUUCUCAUCUAGUAUAUAGGCAUAGACAUGUCGAAUGCCCUGAAUCAUGAUAAACAAAGAGAUCAUCACUUCGAAUAAUUAUACACACCAUGUUGUUAUAUACCAAGAAACAUUAGAGACGUCAUAGUCCUUGGGCAGUUUGGAGUGUCGGAUCAUCUGAAAACUAUAUGAGUUUGUAUCUCUUUUAACUUAUAAAACAGGUUAGAGAAAAAGUAAUCUACUUUCAGCACGAUCACACUUCUCUUAACUGGAGAUGCAUUAGAGAUAUUCAAAUAAGAUGAUAAUAUGUUUCGUAGUGUACAAUCAUGAUCAAGAAUAACUUCUAAAUUUAAGAACAUAACGUCUAUGGAACUAUAAUAUCAUGAUCACAAAUAAUUUCUAGUUGAUGCACAUGCAAGUAACAUAACAAAAAUAAAUGUAAUUAUUGUUUAAACAGAAUGUGUAAGCACUGUUUGCACACUCAUUCCGCAUGAAAUUAAUCAAUGAUCAUACUCAAAUUUUCACUGAAAACACACAAAAUGGCCAACAACAAAAUGAAGAAAAUGCUUCCACCUCUAUCUUUCCAAGAUUCGAGGAGUGCAUCGAGUGUGAUGCGUAAACAACAAAAGCUCAAAGUUUUGUGCGAAGGGCAUAAACAGGACGGAACUGGUAUAGUUCAUAUUCAUUAUAUAUCUGAAAAUUAUAGGUUAUCAAUCCAAACUCGAUCUAGUGAAUACAACAUGUAUUAGAUUUUUAUAAUUUGAGGCUUGUUUUGAAUUUCUUGUUUCGAACUAAUGCUAAGAGCUCAUGAUUUUUUUUUAAAAGAAUUGAGCCCUCAUCACAUAUAACUCCAACUAAUAGAGUAAAAUUGAAAGAAAACCAUCUGCUUCAAUCUGAAUUAAUUCUAACAAUCAAAGAAAGAUUAAUUCUCACUUCAGAAGCCAUGCAAGUCAAUAAACUUAUUUGAAGCUAUUAUACUAGGCAUACAGGCAACACAGUCAAUUCCAAUUAAAUUCGUGUUCAAAUCAAGGAGUUGGCGGUUCUUACCUUGUAUUAAUACGGAUUUAGUGAAUCAUAAAUAAGUCGGUAACAAGAUAGUCUGUCAUUUGAAGAAAUGUUUACAAGUUGUUGUGUUUGGGGUUGUAGAUAAUUUGCGGAACCAAGUGCUCUUAUAUUUGGAUUAUUCAGCAAUUUGUGCACAACUACAGUAGAUUCUAAAUUGAAUGUUAAAACUAAUCUUAUGGCAUUUAUUCCAAUCUAACUCCACGCCCAUAAUAUUGAAGAGAAAGAAAUUAAGAUUCAGAUCCCUCUCUGUAUGAAGCAAACUUAAAGAAAGUAGCUUAUUAUUAAAUUUCCAAAAACAUUUUUCUUCCUCAUCUCAUCUUCUUUUAAACAAAACAAAAAAACCUAAUAGAAAAUAAUCAAAAAAAAAAAAAAAAAAUCAGUACUCAAGACUGACCUGAUAUGAAAAGAAAUAAGUUUUAUUUGCUAAAAGAUUAAAACAUCAUUCUCUACAAGUGUUCUCUUCAUGUUUUGGGUUAAACUUUCUUCAUUAAAACUAUGUUAGUUAAAAACUCAAAAUAAUAUAGAACAGUCUAAGAAUAUGGUAAACAGUUGAAAAUAUGUAACCUAUUAAAUACUGAUGAUGGAUCUGUCAUCCUCAUGGAAUAUGAUGGUAUUAGGGCUAGUUAUGAUACCUAACUAACUAGAAAUCGAUUCAAAAAUAAUCUUAACACAUGUAGUAACCAAGACGAAAAAAAACACGAAAGAAGGCAAGAAAGAAUCCCUCGUUCUAGCUCUUUCAAGCUCUCCUUUCAGAAUUCCAGCCAGCAACAAGGAAAAACAAAAGAGAAAAAAAAAGGAUAUAGGAAAGAAAUGAGUCUAUGAUUAGAUAAGAUGGUGAAGAUGGACAUUUUUAUCUUCUUGUGGUUGAUUAGGUUACAAUCGUUGACUUUAAUGGGCCAGCAUCCUGCCCCAUGACGGAGGCCGGAAUGAGCCGAUCACAGUUGAAGCCCACGGACACUGUGUGUCUAUACACUUUAAGUGGAUGGCUUGCACCCUUUUGAACAGCUCGAGCUUUUGGAGUUAGUGGUUAACGUCUUCGAUCCACAAGUGGUAUCAGAGCCAGUGGCGUGGGUUCGAUUCUCGCAUACUAAAAAUGUGCCCAAGUGCCGAGUGGGGUAUUGUCGGCUUUUAUAGGCCAGCAUACUGCCUUGUGACAGAGGCCGGGUUGGGCCGUAUCACAGCCGAAGCCCGCGGAAGCCGUGUGCCUAUAAACUUUAAGUAGGUUGGUUGCGCCCUUUCUAAAUGCUCAAGCUAUUGGAAUUAGUGGUUAAUGCCUUCGAUCCGGAGCAAUAAAUGCACGCCGAGUCGCCGACAGGUAAAGAAGUAAAGAAAAGUUACUUCCAUUUUUUUUUUCUUUUUGAGAAAAAGGUAGCAAGCUACCAGCUUCAUUCAUUGCGCAAAUGAAUUAAGCUCCAAAUUUUAGGCAACAAGGCUUCCAGAUGUCCGCCAAAUCAAAAGAAAAUACAAGGAGAAUAAAUGGGACAAAAUAAAGGGUUCGGAGGGCAUCGCCUCCGCCGGUCCACCGUGCCGCAGUUAGAGUGGCAAGCCAAUCAAGUAUAUCGCAUGCACGCGAUCUAACAACUAAAAGACUACUUGACAUGGAUUAAUUAUCACUUCUCUAUCCAAUCUGCUUAAAUUGAAUAAAAUCCUAGUCUCUAAACAAAAGGAAUCGCAAAGGGUAUAUCCAUUAUUAUCAAAUCAUACAGAAGAGUGCCGGACAAAGGAGGAGAAACCAGACGACCCAAGAUUCACUUGCUGGUGAUGUUCGAAUCACCGCCGAACUUCUCAGCUCCACAGAUCCAUCAAGACAUGCUUUUCUAUAGCACUCUAAAAACAAAUUUCUGUUUUAAUUAUUACUCACAAAAAUCUUGGGCAUCAGUAACCUACCAUAUGGAUCUCAUCACAAUAAAUCAUCAUCUUCCCCACACCCAAUUUGUAACCCUUGCAUCAAUCUUUCUAGUAAGAUUAAUUUCAUAUACCUUUCACAUCCGUUUUGGCAGGCAAUAUUCUAUGCACACUUCCAUGUUACGACGAGCGCAGAAACAAAAACGAGACGACGAACCUGCAGGUAGGGGUGAAGGCGCCGGGGACGCCGAAGAGGACGACCUUCUUGCCGGCAGCGAGGGAGUGUACGGACAGCUUCUGCAGCUCGUCCUUCUCGUCGAACCACGCCACCGUCCCGUCCGGAAGACUGUCGCCCACCCCAAUCGGAGCCAUUCUUUGUUUCCCCUUUUUUUUUCUGGAUUUUCUUCUUUCCUCACCUCCUCUUAUAAUGAGAUCGGAUAGACCGGAGCUAGCAGAGGGCAAACUUCAAAUACAACCCUGUGGUUUCACACUUUUUUACUUUGGUAUAUUAAAGUGUACCAAUUUAGUAUUCUAUAGUUGUAUUUUUCUCUUUUCGUCAACUUUUUCGUUAAUAUUUUGUUAAAUUAUAUACAAAAAAUUUCAGAUAUUCUGAUACCCUCACCUAAGUUUAUUGAAUAUUCAUUUUAGUACCUUUUAAUUUUAACUUUGUCACUGAUUUAACAGAUAAAAAUAGUGAAAGGAUAUUAAAUAUUCAUUUUAGUAUAUCCUGAUAUCCUGAUACCCUGACCUAAGUUUAUUGAAUAUUCAUUUUAGUACCUUUUAAUUUUAACUUUGUCACUGAUUUAACAGAUAAAAAUAGUGAAAGGGAUAAUAAAAAGAAAAAAUAAAAUUAUAAAAUACUAAAUUGAUACACUUUAAAUUAUAUAAUAUUAAUAUAAAAAAUUACGAAAUCAUAGGAGUAGUAUUUCAAGUUUUUUCUUGACUGAGUGAGGAGAAGAGAGAUGAUAUGAUAGGAUAUUAAUAUAAUACAAGCCUUCCGAGCAAAAAUAUACGAGAACCCCCUCAACUAUAACGUCGUCCUAAGAAAGGCUCAAACUUUUUUAAUCGGUUCAAUUGCUUAUUUCAGGAAUAAGUACAAGUUCAGACAUAUAUAGAAAAUAGACUAAUUUUAUAUUUGGAUGAAAAUUGAGUUAUUCCUGAGAAUAAAAUAAAUAGUAUUUGAAUAAUUAGAUUAGAACAAGAGGAACAAAGAGUUAUCAUUUUAAAUUAAAACUAUUUUAUCUAAUUAAUUAAAAUCAAAAUAUUACUUAAAAAUAAUUUUAAAAAUUAAUAAAUUUAUUAGCUAUGAAUAUUAUGUAAGAUAAUAAAAAUAUAUUUAUUUAUUAAUUAAUUAAUUAUAAAACUAAUUUAAUUUUUAAUUAGUUAGUAAAUUAUUUUAAUUAGAUAAGUAGUAAAAAAAAAUGUAAUUAGGUUAAUAAAAAUACUAAUUGUUGAUCAAUAUAAAUAUUAGUUUAUAGAUAAACAUAUUAAAUUAUUAAUAAUUAGCUAAUUAAUUACAAGUAAUAAAUUAAUUAAUUUUCUUAUUAUUUAAGCAAUAAAUAAUAAUUUAAAUAUAUUAAUUAAAUUAAUUAAUAAUUUAAUAUUAUAAUUAAAAUAAAUUUUAGAUUUUAAUUAAUCUUAUUUUCAAUUGGGAACAAACUUAUUUCAGAAAAAAUGGUGGAACAGUAGUUCCAACUUUAUAUUGAGUUAUACCAACUUAUUUUAAAGAUCCGAAAAUUACUAUUUUCGAUACGAAAAUUUUUGUUUGGGAAUAAAAGGAGAAACAGAGCCGGACCAAACACUGUCCUAUUUUAUUGGACAUCAUAUUUUUGCCAUCGAAUCUUCAUUUUUUAAACGAUAAAUAGAGAAAUUUUAUCAAACUUAUUAAUGCUGGAUCAAUUUUUAUAUUUAACUAACUAGAAUAUUAAUUAGAUAAUUUUUAAUUUAAUCAAUCUUAAUAACAGUUAUAAAAAUAAAGUUAACAAUUUUUUAAUGAAAAAAAAAUGCCAAGUUAGGCCUCGCGUCAUUGUUUUUUAUAACUCUUUUAAUAAUUUAUUUUGUUCUCAAAACUUAUAAUAUGCUCUCAUCAAGUGAUUAACAAAAAAUUUAUUAAAAAGUUUUGAACGCAAAGUAAACUUACUUUUAUAAUUUUAAUUUUUUGAAUAAAAAAUAUUUUUGCUAUAUAAAUUAUAAAUAAUUCAUUAAUUUCUUUUACAUUAUUUUAUAUAAGAAUUUUAUUUCAAAAAAGAGUAAACUUCAACUAUCACUCCGGUGGGUUUUGUAUUUUCUCACUUUAGUACCAUGUGGUUUAAAGAGUAUCAGUUUAUUACCAUAUAGUUUCAUUUUUCUUUUCUGUCAGCUCUUCCGUUAACAUUUCGUUAAAUUAUUAUAGGCUAACUUACAGAAAACUUUCCUGUCAAAAUCCAAUUUUUCACUUUUUUCCCCUGUCAUUUAAAAACCUACACUUUACCCCAGAGGGUACAGUAUGAACUAUGAUGGUAAAAUGAUCAUUUUGCCCCUCACUAUGUUCACAUUAGGAAAGAAGGCUGAGAGCAUUUUUGGCAUAAAAAAAUAUAUAAUAAUAUUUUAUAAACGGAACCCUAACGGAUUACUAACGGCAAGGGGCGAAGUGAACAUUUUUCAUUUUAUAAGGAGGCAAAGUGUAGAUUUUUAAAUGACAAGAGGGGAAAGUGAAAAAUCGAAUUUUGAUAGGAAAUUUUAUGUAAUUUAGCCAUUAUUAUAUACAAAAAACUUUAGAUAUCCUAACUAGGCUUAUCAAAUAUUCACUUUACUGUCUUUUAGUUUUAGCUUUGUCACUAAUUUAAUAAAAAAAAAUUAGUGAAGGUGAUAAUAAAAAGAGAAAAAUAAAAUAACUGAGUACUAAAUUGAUACACUUUAAAAGGUUAAUUUCAUACAGGUCCCUACAAAUAUAGUGAAUAGCAGAUAUAUCCCUGCAAAGUUCAACUUUCAUAAGUUAUUCCUGCAAAAGUCUUAUUGUAUUCAGAUAUGUCCCUGCCGUUAAUACCUGUUAGAGAAAUCUAGUUAACUACAGUUAAAAUACUUAACCAUGAUUAGUUAAUAAAGUAAAAUGACAUUUUUACCAUUCUUCUUCUUCCCCUUCCUCUUCUUCUUCCUCUGCUUCUUCUUCCUCCUCUUCCUCUUCCUCUUCCUCUCCUACUUCUUCUUCCUCUUCUUCUUCGUAUCCUCAUUUUCCUCCUUCUUUUCUCCUCUUUCUUCUUCUUCGUCAUCGUCGUCGAUGAUCCGAUCGUCGUCGCCGUCGUGGUGCCUGCGCCGGCCGUCGUCACGGGCGCCUCCGACGGCAUCGGUCGCGCCUUCGCCUUCCGCCUCUUCCUUGUCCUUGUUGGCCGCAACCGCGACAAGCUCCGCAAGGUCGCCGCCGCCGCCGCCGCCGUCUGCUCCCACAGCAUGAAGAGGAAGAGGAAGAGGAAGAUGAAGAGGGCAAGAGCAAAAUAGUAAUUUUACAACUCUACUGUUAAAAAAUUAAUAGUUCUCUAACAGAUCCAAACUAAAAGGACAUAUCUGAAUAUAUUAAGACUUUUACAUGAAUAACUUAUAAAAAUUAAACUUUAUAAGGAUAUAUCUGUUAUUCAUCAUAUUUGCAGGGACCUAUAUAAAAUUAACUCCACUUUAAAUUAUAGGGUUAGUAUUUAAAGUUUUUUCAAAAAAAAAAGUGACAAUAACCAAGAGAGGCCUCCUUUUGGAAACAACGUGUAGUUGAGGGGCUUCAAGCAUUAUUAUCACAAAACUGAGGUGGGAGCAGGUAUGCCAUUACUACGAAGUGCUACAGUCCACGCUGGUGUGCCUCCGAUUCUUCGCCCGCGAAUAUUCUAAUAAAAAAUUUAAAUAAAUUAAAAAAGAUAUUUAAAAUUUGACUAAGGGUGUAUUUGGUUACUUGUAAAAUCAUCUAAAAACCUUUUUUGGGUUGAAAAGUAAAAUUUUGAUGAUUAUUUACUUGUAAAAAAUAAUAGUUUUUUUAAAAAAAUUACGAACAAAAAAGAAAAACGAAGUUUUUAUUUUACACUUGAACCGAGUGGAAAACAAAAACACGUGGCCUUGUGCGCUGCGUUGGGGAGACAAAGCACGCUGCCCACGAGGUCCACUCCACAUCGUAGACUGUAUUAUAAAUAUUAUUUAUAAAUAUAUAGUAAUUUAUUUUUUAAUAUUAUAUACUAUUAUGAUCGACCGUCUCUAUAGCAAGUGGCAAAGAGCUUGAUGGUUGGUAUCUGAGACCCAAGUUUGAAUCCUAGUUGAUUCACAUUUUUAGCUAAGUUUAUUUCUAAAUGAAAUAAAUGAAGCGGGUAGCGUGCUAUGUAAGGACUGAGAUUUUUUUUACUGUACAACUAAACUCUCUGUUGACGAUGUUUAUGUGUGUAAUUUAAUUACAUAAGCACUCGUCAAGUUUCAGGAGAAAAUGAGCUAAAACGGAGAAGUUACGCGAUUAUUAGUUUUCACUUAAGUGAAUAGUAACUCCGGUUUUUCGGAGA
rnacentral:lncRNA from 1 species